rnacentral:lncRNA from 1 species
UCUAAUUUGACGGUGUUUUUAGACAGAAUUGUUUUGUUUGACAACAACAAUAUAUAAACAACAAAUUACCAUAGUAUUUGUGCAGGUUACCAUGCCACACAUGAGCGCGCAAACGAAAAGUCGUGAUCAAAAUGUCAUUUGAAAAAUUGCACCUCGGCUAAAAAUCUGGACCUGGGUCAUGAGACGCUCGCUAUACCCAAAAGCCAAACAGGACGGCAGCCCGCCACUAAAGAGCAGGCAGACCGACAGCGGUGCUCCUAUCAUUAGCGCGAGGUUUGCAUAACCGAAAGACAAGCGUGAAUAAGGCGGUCACGGAAGAAAAAAAACGUCAUACAAGAUAAUAUUAUACAGCGUUGUAUAAUGACAUGAGUUUUAUACUUACGAAGAAGGCACCCGUCUGUCUACGCUGAUGUUUGCAAUCUAACCAAAAGAGAUAAAAUCCUGGUGAUCGUAAUGUCGCCUAUACGAAAACGCGGUCGGGUCACACAACAACGUCAAGCUAGUAAUGACGCUACGCUAGAUGAAGCUAUUUUACUCGUCUAAUGUCUGUCCUUCUUCGAUCACCUGUUCGACGUCGCUGUCCUUUAUCUUUGAUCGUUCCUGUUCGUGGUAUGUGUUUAUUAGAUUCCUAGGCGCAGUAGGAGACACACAAAUGGCGUCCCAUCAAGUAGCCGCUAAUUCAACAACGUAACUCAUUUCUACACGUCGUUUAUAACCGACAGGCGAAGAACAGAAGAAGGACUUCGGCCAAUCGAGAUCAGCGGAUUAUUAUGAGUCAAAUGUUUUAUAAUUUGUCCGUCAUAUCGGUUGUGUCUAGUAACUCUUGGCGGUUUCAAUCUUAGCAUUGGUAUUAUUAUCGCUUCCAUAUCAUCAAUUUGGUGUCAUAAAGAGUUAAUAAAUAACGAAUCAUUAAUUAAUGAAAAAAGAUGGAUGCUUACAAUAAGCCUGCAUGUACAUACAAGAUCAAAAAAAUCGGAUACUUCAAAUAUACGCGUCGUCGACGGAUAGAGUGAAACCAAUAUAUUGGAAUAGUAGUUUAAAAAGCAGUUAACAGGUUACCUUCAACUAGAAUAGAGUAUUUGAUUUUCCUUGCACCCUUCUUUUUACCGACGUCGUUUAGCUAGACCCACCUCGUAGCAGUCGAUCAGCAUGUAAUGUCUAGGUACUGGAAAUUAACAUUGCCGGCUCGAAUAGAACGAUUAAUAAUAACAUACAUAGCGCGAUGAAGUACCCAAAAUAAACACGAGUAACACGAUGCUUCGAAAUAAAGACAUUUUCGACCUUCAAACCUCGCUGGCGUCUCUGACAAGGUUAGAGAAUCUAACUAACUUCCACGCGAUAACACCCGCAUUGGUGUUAGCAGGUAAAUUUCUUCUGUUUGCAAAAUGUUCAGGCUCCACUAGUUAAGGUCACGACACAUGUGCACUGGUCAGACAGAAGUAUGGACCGUUUCGCAAAAAGUUUUUGAAUGCCAGAGAAAAUAUUCAAAUUCGUAUCACCCUCUAGCUUAGCAUUGAAACGCUCGUCUAAGUUAGAUAUAUUGUUGUGUACCUUGGCCAAAAAAAACAAGUAGGCGUCACUAGCUGUAAUAGGAAGGUCAAAAAUUGUAUCGGCCGCUUAUUAGCGUUUCUCUGAUACACGCGACUUCACCAUUACUGCUACCGGUCCAGUGUGGCCAUAUCCGAUGCUCGGUCUUUAAGAUAUAAAUGUGCGUUAUUGGCUUAUAGUUCGACGAAGAUAUGUACUGGUUAAGCUGGUCACUGGCUGAAGUUAAUCAGACUUUUUCGAAAAAAGUCUGAUUUCGUUUCGAAAACGUCCGCGACUUUGCCAGCCCCGGGUCUCCUUCGGGAUUCGAAGCAGACGCAAUGAAUAGGAGACCGCUAAAAACGCUGCGAGUUUUCUGCAUGGGUCAGACAGUCGGUCGACAAAAAGCGACGGCGAUACAAUAAGCACUAUUUACCGGACUUGUAGCGUAGUAGCAGCCAUAUCACUUCAUCAUAAUCACUACUGGAUUGGUCUGGCUGACUUCGAUACCAACCGGCUCGACUAAUGUAAACAUGGCCACGCAAAGACCUGUCGGCUGCAAUAGCUUGUGAACAAAAGCCGCGAUAUUUACCGAGACAAAAGGGCAAAAUCCACAAAACAAAUUAAUUGGCGGCAUAAAUCGCUUCGGACGGCAGUAAGUUAAGUUACCAAAUUCGAGUUACGUUGUAUAAGAAAUGCGAGUCGCCGAUUGGAAGGCUUUAUCGUCAGAUCGCUUAGAGUAAAUGCGCUUUUGGGGGGUGGUGAUCAUUGCAGUAAACUUGAGUCAGUAUUUUAGAAGGAAAAAAAACUACAAACAUCGAAGUUUCCAAGUGAGAGAACCUAACUUGAGCACACGGUUAUUGAAACGAAAAUAUGCCUCUUGGUUUUUUAUUGCUAUUGCGUUUAUCCUUAACGCGGUACAUAUGUUACAAUGAAGAUAAUUUUUCAUUAAAAAUUUUUUGUUGUAGUUUUUUGUUUUAGUAAUUGACCACCUUCCUAUCAUCGAUCCGAUGGAAAAUAGGUGCGCUUAACAGAAAACGUUUAAUAGAAGCUAAUAUCUGUGAAUGGUUGAAUUUCGUCUCAAAAAAAAAGACUCAUAAACAAUAACAGCAAUAACAGCUGCACAAGAGAGCACCUUAUUGGUGUAAGUGAGCUAUUACAGUUUCUACGGUAAACUAAUUUUAGCAAAGACAUUAAUUUAGCAAUUCAGACGAAGUCUAGUGACACCAAAUAAGUAAGCAUUUACGCUCCUCGUUUAAGCUAAGAGAUUUUUGUUUCACGUAAUAGCCAUUGCCUCGACUGUUUGCGCGAUCCUCCUUCGCUCGUGGAGGUUCAUUACAUGCUGCGAGCGUUAACUAUAGGAAGUGACGGGAGUUCUUCGUGAAGCUUCUUACCAACGACACUCUUUGGCAAUAAAGAAAAUCAUAGCGUUGCAUUUUAAUUACCAACUGACCUUUUUGCCGCCGUCAAACUUCCAAUAGAUGUUUCUUUAUUCCAGAACAUCUGUAUGCCUCUAAAAAUCAGUUGAUGUAAUUUAGUUUUGACGAUGUCGAUAUUAGUGACGAAGGCACACGAGGGUUACCGUAUACCAAGUUCAAGUCGCCCUCUAAACCUCUAUCCAUAUGAAAAAAAUCCUCGAAGAGGAAGUAGACGGGAACAAGGCAAGCAACAAGAUACAGUUGAAGUUCAAUAGUACUUGUCUAAAGUCAAUUACUUAACGCCGAAAGCCCGAUUUUCCUAUUUUAAGCUAGAAAGUUUCCCGUAAGCCCAUUCAUUAGUUAAGAGCGUGGGUAUAUACCUUGGAUCUCUUUUCUUGUAGGGAAGCAUAGCGUUGUACUCUUUCCGGCAUAGAUGGUGAUUAUAUCUUUUUUGGAGUUUUACUACAAGAUCCAUGUUAAGAUUAUGCUUGUGAAAAAUAUGAAAAGGUAAACAUUCAAUAGAUCAGUAUUAAGCGAUUAAAAGUGAAUAUAUAUACAAUAAAAUAUGCGUGAAUCUAUAUGCAGGUUUUACAUAAGAUUCAUAUAUUGCGAACUACUAGAUAUACUCUACUUGUAUUCGUUGCUUUAGAUAUAACGUGUAGCAUACUCAUUUGGUCUCGAUAACUUACUGAAUUUUUAUAACUUGUGUUCGUUCUAUAUCAAACGACGCUCACAGUUCCCUUACGGGUAUAGGGAAGUGUACGACCGUAUCUUUCCAAAGUUACGCAACGCCUGACGUCUGAUUGUUGUGGCCUUACACACAAACACCGAAGAAGACGAUCCCCCCAAAGUAGGGACUAAAGAACUGCCGCGAAGCCUAUCCAGCUUGGCCUAUGGCCGCGGAUUAAUAACUUAAUUUACACACCGUCGUAUAAUAAACAUGUAUAUAUAUAUAUUUGUUUUUAAAUAUUAAUUCACAUUUAAGUCAUUGAUCGAUGGAGUAUUAGCGCGCGCUAGAUCACAAACCAGAAUAGCUCGACCGUAUCUAGCAGUCGCCUAGGAAAGACAGACUUUUCCUUUUAAGAACAAAAAGCACAUAUAGACACAAGGAUAAAUGACUGUCCCAUAAGUGUAUUCUCUGUUUCAAAUAGAAACGCAUGCGUUUUGAAUUAGCGUAAAGCGUGAUAUGCAGCAUUAAUACAAAAUUGAUUGGGAUUAUACUGCUGUAAACGUGCGGGGGUGUGGUAAUUACUAAUUAACCCAGCGGAUUUCGAUUGAGUCAAUAAUCAGGGGGCAAUUAUAAAAAAAAGAAAAAAAUAGGACGCUGCUUAAUUUUGAUCGUUUUAUUGGAUGUACGCAUAUAUUUCAUCCAAUAAAAAUUUGAAAAUGAUCUCAGCGAAUGUAUCAUAAGCCAGCCGUUGAUGCAAAUGCAAUUCCUGUCAAGCGGCGUUGGAUCCUUUAAUAUCGUAGCGGAAUUAUUUUUUUUGCAUGAAAUUGGCCGUUCGAAGUACUUCGGGUAGCGACCCCGAAUUGGACGGAACAGGCAGUGACCACGAUGGAUCGAGUGCAGUUCAGUUGCACUGAUCUCAUCUGGUACUAACUAGGACGGUUACGUCUGUGGUACCACAAUGAUAAUAGUACCACAGACGAUACAAAUAUUUGUCAAGCAGAUUAAAACAUGUCCUUGCAGUAAUCACAGGCAAAAAGCCGUCAACGAAGAGACUUCGGUGCCGAGCUCGUUGCGAAAACAGGUCAUUUGUUUAUGCUCGCAUCGUGACAACGUAAACAAUAAACAGCCAAUUGUGGGGAGUAAUAAUGACCAAACCCAGUUACCGUGGGUUAUUCCUUCGGCUUCAUUUUCAAGUACACCGCAUCUCUAAGCAAUGCUCGUUACAUAAUGUAGUUAAGUGAGCGCGAAUAUUGAUACAGGCAGGGCAGCA